UCUCACAGCCAUCAUGACCGAGACCAUCACAGUCUCUUUGAAAACGGAGCUUCUCAGAAUCUGUUUAACUCCACAAGGGUAGUGUGAACCAGUCCAUCCCACCUCCCCCAACCUCACUACCACAAGCCAGUGGCAGCACACGUGCCAAUCAAUGCCAACAAGGCCAGGCCAGGCUAACCUUGUUGAACUGGAGACCCUCCCACUGCAAAGGGACAAUGGGAAUAAACUGGAGCCAAGAACUUUCCCUUGGGGCCAAGCUUAGUUUAUUGAAGUUCAAGAAAGGGAAAAAGAGCAAAGAUAUGUCUUACAGAACACAACACGAACAUAACAAGCUGUCUCCUGUUCGAAUGAAAGUAAACCCAGUGAGGGCACCCAGCGCAGUGCAGUGCCCGGCACAGAGUAUGCAAAAUUGAUCUAGUGAUUGAUCGGAGCCCUCAGGUUUCCUUAAUAGCACCAUGGACAAUGGUGGUGCAUUAGCAGGCUGGGUUUCUGAGGGCUGAGGUGCAAUAGGUCCCUAGCCAUCCCCUAAUCUAGUACAUGCCUAUAACAAGCCAAGAAUUCCCUUCUGCCUGAAGACCUCCAAGGAAAGCCUUCCCAAUCACACCUCCUGAAGCACCCCAACAUGGACCCCAAACUAGCUCCUGACUUCUCACCUGAAAAAUAGCUGCCUGAUACCAGAAAGUCACCAGUGCUUGGAAAAAAACAAAAACAAACAAAACCACACAUUCCCUGCUACUCAGAAAGGAUAAAGGGCCAGGCCUAAACAAGCUCACCUGAUCAAAAGAAAAAGGAUGCUUCCCAAUUCUGCCGAGGUGGCCAAGAUGAGUCUACUUACACUACCCAACAACCUGCUUCCAAUCCACGUCCCAAAAUCAAGCUGCUGACAGUGUACAAGUAGGUGCUUUCCAGCUGUCUGAUGCAGCUGUAAUAUUUGCCUUGUCUCCAAGGACAACUAGCCCAGGGAGAUUGAUCCAGAGGCAACAAAAAGCAUAGGGACUGUGAGAGGCUUGAGAUCACAACCAGCUCUUUCAGAAUCUUCUAUUUCCAGUCUGGGACCUGAAAAACUAAGUCUUACAAUAUAAUAGGCUACAAACGGCUAAAGGAAGCAGGAAUGGGAUGUAAAAAUUACAAAAAAGGGACUCUUCAGAAAAGAAAAAAAAAAGUGGAAUCCAAAUUCACUUCUCAGUGGCUCAAAUGGGGCACACUUCCUCCUUUCUCCUUCAUGCUGGUAGCAUGAGCU
rnacentral:lncRNA from 1 species